UACAGAGGUCCCGAGCGUUGUUCGGAUUCACUGGGCGUAAAGGGGUGCGUAGGCGGUUCUGAAAGUCUGAUGUGAAAUCUCCAGGCCCAACCUGGAAACUGCAUUAGAAACUACAGGGCUAGAGGCUUGGAGGGGGAACUGGAAUUCUCGGUGUAGCAGUGAAAUGCGUAGAUAUCGGAAGGAACACCAGUGGCGAAAGCGGCUUCCUGGUCCAGCACCGACGUUCAGGCACCGAAAGCAGUGGGGAGCAACAGG
rnacentral:rRNA from 1 species